CGGGUGAGUAAUGUCUGGGAAACUGCCUGAUGGAGGGGGAUAACUACUGGAAACGGUAGCUAAUACCGCAUAACGUCGCAAGACCAAAGAGGGGGACCUUCGGGCCUCUUGCCAUCGGAUGUGCCCAGAUGGGAUUAGCUAGUAGGUGGGGUAACGGCUCACCUAGGCGACGAUCCCUAGCUGGUCUGAGAGGAUGACCAGCCACACUGGAACUGAGACACGGUCCAGACUCCUACGGGAGGCAGCAGUGGGGAAUAUUGCACAAUGGGCGCAAGCCUGAUGCAGCCAUGCCGCGUGUAUGAAGAAGGCCUUCGGGUUGUAAAGUACUUUCAGCGGGGAGGAAGGGAGUAAAGUUAAUACCUUUGCUCAUUGACGUUACCCGCAGAAGAAGCACCGGCUAACUCCGUGCCAGCAGCCGCGGUAAUACGGAGGGUGCAAGCGUUAAUCGGAAUUACUGGGCGUAAAGCGCACGCAGGCGGUUUGUUAAGUCAGAUGUGAAAUCCCCGGGCUCAACCUGGGAACUGCAUCUGAUACUGGCAAGCUUGAGUCUCGUAGAGGGGGGUAGAAUUCCAGGUGUAGCGGUGAAAUGCGUAGAGAUCUGGAGGAAUACCGGUGGCGAAGGCGGCCCCCUGGACGAAGACUGACGCUCAGGUGCGAAAGCGUGGGGAGCAAACAGGAUUAGAUACCCUGGUAGUCCACGCCGUAAACGAUGUCGACUUGGAGGUUGUGCCCUUGAGGCGUGGCUUCCGGAGCUAACGCGUUAAGUCGACCGCCUGGGGAGUACGGCCGCAAGGUUAAAACUCAAAUGAAUUGACGGGGGCCCGCACAAGCGGUGGAGCAUGUGGUUUAAUUCGAUGCAACGCGAAGAACCUUACCUGGUCUUGACAUCCACGGAAGUUUUCAGAGAUGAGAAUGUGCCUUCGGGAACCGUGAGACAGGUGCUGCAUGGCUGUCGUCAGCUCGUGUUGUGAAAUGUUGGGUUAAGUCCCGCAACGAGCGCAACCCUUAUCCUUUGUUGCCAGCGGUCCGGCCGGGAACUCAAAGGAGACUGCCAGUGAUAAACUGGAGGAAGGUGGGGAUGACGUCAAGUCAU
rnacentral:rRNA from 1 species